rnacentral:rRNA from 1 species
AACGAACGCUGGCGGCAUGCCUAACACAUGCAAGUCGAACGAGACCUUCGGGUCUAGUGACGCACGGGUGCGUAACGCGUGGGAAUCUACCCUUGGGUUCGGAAUAACAGUUAGAAAUGAAUGCCAAUACCGGAUGCUGACGUAAGUCCAAAGAUUUAUCGCCCAAGGAUGAGCCCGCGUAAGAUUAGCUUGUUGGUGGGGUAAUGGCCUACCAAGGCGACGAUCUUUAGCUGGUCUGAGAGGAUGAACAGCCACACUGGGACUGAGACACGGCCCAGACUCCUACGGGAGGCAGCAGUGGGGAAUAUUGGACAAUGGGCGAAAGCCUGAUCCAGCAAUGCCGCGUGAGUGAUGAAGGCCUUAGGGUUGUAAAGCUCUUUUACCAGGGAUGAUAAUGACAGUACCUGGAGAAUAAGCUCCGGCUAACUCCGUGCCAGCCGCCGCUGUAA